UACGUAGGGGGCAAGCGUUGUCCGGAUUUAUUGGGCGUAAAGAGCGUGUAGGCGGUUAUGCAGGUCCGCUGUGAAAACUGGAGGCUUAACCUCCAGACGUCGGUGGAAACCGUAUGACUAGAGUCCGGAAGAGGAGAGUGGAAUUCCUGGUGUAGCGGUGAAAUGCGCAGAUAUCAGGAAGAACACCCGUGGCUAAGGCGGCUCUCUAGUACGGUACUGACGCUGAGACGCGAAAGCGUGGGGAGCGAACAGG
rnacentral:rRNA from 1 species